UACAUAGGUCUCAAGCGUUGUUCGGAUUCAUUGGGCGUAAAGGGUGCGUAGGUGGCGCGGUAAGUCGGGUGUGAAAUUUCGGAGCUUAACUCCGAAACUGCAUUCGAUACUGCCGUGCUUGAGGACUGGAGAGGAGACUGGAAUUUACGGUGUAGCAGUGAAAUGCGUAGAGAUCGUAAGGAAGACCAGUGGCGAAGGCGGGUCUCUGGACAGUUCCUGACACUGAGGCACGAAGGCCAGGGGAGCAAACGGG
rnacentral:rRNA from 1 species